rnacentral:rRNA from 1 species
CCUACGGGCGGCUGCAGUGGGGAAUAUUGCGCAAUGGGCGAAAGCCUGACGCAGCGACGCCGCGUGAGGGAUGAAGGUCUUCGGAUCGUAAACCUCUGUCAGCAGGGAAGUACGGUCACUGUGGUAAUCAGCAUUGAAUUGACGGUACCUGCAAAGGAAGCACCGGCUAACUCCGUGCCAGCAGCCACGGUAAUACGGAGGGUGCGAGCGUUAAUCGGAAUUACUGGGCGUAAAGCGCUCGUAGGCGGUAGGUCAAGUCAAGGGUGAAAGCCCCGCGCUCAACGGGGGAACUGCCUUUGAAACUGGCAACCUGGAGUGCGUGAGAGGAUAGCGGAAUUCGUGGUGUAGGAGUGAAAUCCGUAGAUAUCUGGAGGAACAUC